rnacentral:rRNA from 1 species
CAAGUCGAGCGGACCGACGGGAGCUUGCUCCCUUAGGUCAGCGGCGGACGGGUGAGUAACACGUGGGUAACCUGCCUGUAAGACUGGGAUAACUCCGGGAAACCGGGGCUAAUACCGGAUGCUUGAUUGAACCGCAUGGUUCCAAUCAUAAAAGGUGGCUUUUAGCUACCACUUACAGAUGGACCCGCGGCGCAUUAGCUAGUUGGUGAGGUAACGGCUCACCAAGGCGACGAUGCGUAGCCGACCUGAGAGGGUGAUCGGCCACACUGGGACUGAGACACGGCCCAGACUCCUACGGGAGGCAGCAGUAGGGAAUCUUCCGCAAUGGACGAAAGUCUGACGGAGCAACGCCGCGUGAGUGAUGAAGGUUUUCGGAUCGUAAAACUCUGUUGUUAGGGAAGAACAAGUACCGUUCGAAUAGGGCGGCACCUUGACGGUACCUAACCAGAAAGCCACGGCUAACUACGUGCCAGCAGCCGCGGUAAUACGUAGGUGGCAAGCGUUGUCCGGAAUUAUUGGGCGUAAAGCGCGCGCAGGCGGUUUCUUAAGUCUGAUGUGAAAGCCCCCGGCUCAACCGGGGAGGGUCAUUGGAAACUGGGGAACUUGAGUGCAGAAGAGGAGAGUGGAAUUCCACGUGUAGCGGUGAAAUGCGUAGAGAUGUG